UACAGAGGCCCCAAGCGUUACUGAGAAUCACUGGGUUUAAAGGGUGCGUAGGUGGCGCGUUAAGUCCGUUGUGAAAUCCCUUGGCUCAACCAAGGAAAUGCUUCGGAUACUGGCGUGCUUGAGGCUAGUAGGGGUCACUGGAACUGACGGUGGAGCGGUGAAAUGCGUAGAUAUCGUCAGGAACGCCGAUGGUGAAGACAGGUGACUGGGCUAGUUCUGACACUGAGGCACGAAAGCGUGGGGAGCGAACGGG
rnacentral:rRNA from 1 species